GGCUUAGCAUACACGCAUAAGGACCCUCCACCCCAACACCCUUUUUGCCACAUAAGUUCCAGGUAUUGGGACCCGGAUAUCUUUGUGAGCCAGUGGUCAGCCUCACACUCCAUGCAUCCUCUCAAUGCUUCCUCAUGACAACUCAUUUUACAGGUCAAAGAAUUGCUCAGAGAGGUAAAUCCCUCAUCCAAGGUCAAUAGCAGGUGAGUUUGUUCACCUCUCCCAUGGAUGUUAAUUGAGUGCCCACUGUGGGUCAGACACUAGGUUAGGUUCUGGGUUGCCAUGUAAAAGCCACCUGUGAAACAUGCGCUCUGGAGCCCAGUUACGAAGUGUCAUGAGCUGAGGAAUUCAGCGAAGGCUUAAUUGAGGAAUUCAGGGAAGGCUUCCUGGAGGACAUGACCGGCCAGCUGAGAUCUGGAGAGUGUUCCUUAGGUCUCUUCAGAAGGCUGGGUAGCCUAAUUUAGAGAGGGGAGGCUUCUGAGCAGGGGAGGGCUCAGACUGCUGUGGGCACCAUUAGGGGUCAGUCAGCAGAGCCAGCCCCUGGGGAGAUUUCUGCUGAGAAGCUGCUCAUCAUCCUUCAUGGGAUGCAGGUGGGAGGUACGACAGGUGUGGACCCAACACAGACACACAGUAAAGACAGUGUUAGUACUAAGGUAUUGAACUUGCAGCUCCAAGGUGGGAUCCAGGCUGCCAGCUUGUUUUAAUUGGAAGGUAGAGCAGUGUCUAAAGAUUUGGAAUUGAAAUAACUUUAAUGAGUCUAACCACCACCCACACCCACAUUUAAAUCACGAACUGCCCCCCAAGGCACUGGAUUUGAGAAACAGUCCCCUCUCCCCAGGGGUCUUAAGACUCAGUUCUGCAGUUCUGCUUUGGCCUCCAAUUUCCCCUAGGUUUUCUCUUUGGUCAGAAGCAGUGACUCGUCUCGGUGGGGAGAGAGGUACCCAAGGGCUGGGAGACAGGGAAGGGGGAUCCACCUCCAGAGGCCCAGACCCCGAGGGGCUGUCCUGUCAGUGGCCUACCUCCACUUCCAUCUCGGCCAGUCGGGUCAUCCGUGGUUCAGGAGACCGAGCACAGGGAGGGGCAGCACCUGGCACGGGGCAUGCAGAGCCGAGCGCCUGCAGGUGUGUCCAAGGGCCCCACCUGAGCUCAGUGCACAGCUAGCCACCUCCCUGGGGAGGACACGCUCCAGGGCUGCGGCGUGCCUACACUGGCAUCGUCUCCACCUGUGCGGGGCGUGCCGCGGGCCGCCCUCGGUGAGGACGGAGCCGGCGUCUACGUGCCAGGCCCUGCGCACUGGGGUCUGCGAGGUCGAGGCUCACCUCCGUUUUGUAGAGGAGAAAACAGAGGCCUGGAGAGAGCAGGAAACCCUCAGUCACAGAGGAGCAAGGUGGAAGGCAGACGGGACUAGCCCAGCGCUGCCCUGCACCCACAACACAGCCUCCCUGAGCCCCUCAUUUCUCCAAGGGGCGUGGCCUUGGGCAACUUCGCUCUGGAGCUCCUCCCCACCAGGUGAGUCAGGCCCAUGAGGCUCCACCACCCCCAUGAGGAAGGCGGGAGGGAGUGAGGCACCCCUCUGUCUGGGGGCUUUGAUGGCGAGCAGGGCAGGAGAGACCCUCGGGCCUCCCACCUCCAGCAGAGAGGUGAGGAGGAGGUGACAGCCCUGCUCGUCUCUGCAGGGCCGGGAGGCUCUGCCAGUGCCCAGGACUCCCUGGGCCCCAUCACCCGCCCAGUCACUCCCCUACUUAAUGCACAGGCACGGAGCCACGCCCAUUCCAGACUCCUCUCUGGGAAUGACCCAAUGUGGGCCCCACCCUCACGGUACCCAGAGUCUGGACUCCUGCUGGGGGCCUCAUGAGCCCAAGAUGUUGCUGGUGGAGCCAGAAAGAGCCUCAGCUUGUCAGCGACUGUCUGCGGGAUUCCUGAGUUCUCCAGCAUCAUCUCCCAGCAAGUUCAGAACAUUCUACAGCUUCAGCAAGAUGUGAAGACUUCCUUUGUCAUCAACUUGUAUAUGUGACUCGGACAGAAAAGAUCCUGAGGGCAGAGGUGAGGAGACCUGCUGAGCAGGGCGGAUGUUUGAGUGGAACUGAGUUUAUAAGUGGCCAGGACAGCAGCAGCAAAUGUGGUCGUGUUUUCACAGCUUUUACAUCCAAUGUGUAUAAUACUCAGCUGCUGGAGCCCGCUGUCAGAAUGAGUUGCAUCACCCCAGGACUGAUCGCAUCUAAGGAACGUCAGGGAAGAUAAAGUUCCACCUUGGCUCAGCCACUGUGGAUCUCUGUGACAGAACCUUGGUCUUAACUCACACACCUUGUCUCUUGGUGGUAAUAACACCUUGAUUUCCUGGGAGGAGCAUUCCUUCCCACUUUAUGCCCACGUGGUUCAGCCGGGGCUGAUACUGCCUCUGGGAUGCACUGAUGCUCCUGUGAUGCAGGUUUAACCAAUCAGAGUGCUCUGUUUCCCUGGCCACAGUAGCUGGCUCAAGGAUGGCCACAUGACCCAAGCCUGCUGGCAGUUUUGCAGGGAACAUCAAGCCUUGCUAGAACCUCCAGGGGAUGUGAAGCUGGAUGGCUGCGGGCCUGAGGAUAAAGCCAACAUGUAGGAGAGCAGUGUGGAAACACAUACAGAGACACCAGCUGGGCACCUGGAUCCAACUAUGCCUGAAGCUUGUGAUACACCUGAAGCCAAUAUAGUUUACCUGUCUGCAUAAACAGCCUAAGUUUCUCUUCUGUCACUUGUCUCUGAGAGCACUGAGGCUGCUUUGCCUGGAGAAAGAAAAAUUGGGGUGAGGAAGGUAGGGGCUUGAUGUCUUCAAAGACCUGAAGGGCUUCCCUGGCUGGCUGUACGUAUAUGCACACUGAUUUCCAGUGGGAGGAAGGACUCUUCAUGAGGCAGGACCUUCCCACAGUGAGAACUGUUCAAAGAGGGCUGUGCACUGGCUCAGGAGGGAGGGAGCCCCCCUCCUCAGGGCUGGGCAGACAAGGAGCAUGUGGUGAAAGGGGCUUAGGUUGGCUGCAAGGACCAUGGUCCUGUCAUCGGAUGAGUAUGGCCUGGGACCUCAGACCCGCUUUAGUGGACAGCUGGGGAGCAUCAGUGACUCCCGUGCUAAACUGUAAAAAUGUUUAGGAUCGUCAAGAAGGUCCAAGAAGUGUUCAGUGAUCACCGCAGCAUCCACCAUUGUCAGCUCGAGAAAUAAAACCUCACCAAUGCAGCUGAGCUCCUGGUCACGGAGCCGCCUCUGGCUGGAAACUCUCACUGCAUGUGCACCAUCCUAAGGGUGAUGGAGCCCACAGGUCUUUCCUAAACAGUGAGAAUUGUCCUACUUUCAGGCUCUGCAGAUUUUUCGUUUAUUAACAGUGGUGAAAAUAAAAGUGCUUGUUGUUAUUGUUCAGUCGCUAAAUCUUAUCCAAUUCUUUGCAAUCCCAUGACUGCCGCACACCAGGCUUCCCUGUCCUUCACCAUCUCCCAGUUUGCUCAGAUUCACAUCCACUGAAUCACUGAUGCGAUCUGACCAUCUCGUCCUCUGCUGCCCUGUUCUCCAUUUCCCUUCAGUCUUUCCCAGCAUCAGGGUUUUUGUGCUUAGCUGCUAAUAGAACAUGUAUUUUUCCUUUCUUCCUUCCUUCUUCCACCUUCUCUCCCUCCCUUCUUUUUUUAAGGAUGGUUUUAUUUAUUUAUUUAAUAUUGGCUGCACUGGGUCUUCAUUGAGGCAUGCAGGCUUCUCUAGUUGUGGUGUGUGGGCGUCUCUCAUUGCAGAGCCUGGGCUCUAGAGUGCACAGGCUCAGUAGCUGCAGUGCUCAGGCCUAGUUGCCCUGUGGCAUGUGGGAUCUUCGUUCCUCAACCAGGGAUCGAACCCAUUUCUCUGCGCUGAAAGGCAGACUCUUAACCACUGGACCACCAAGGAGUCCUUUCUUUCUUCCUCCCUCUCUCCCUUCCUCCUUUCUUUCUGGUAAUAAAAAACUAUUACAAAAGCAGUCCUCAAACCCUUUUUUUUAUCUAGUUUGCAUAAAAGCUAUUCCACCCCCCAGGCCCUGGCCCCCUUGCACC
ensembl:lncRNA